UUAAUUAUAUUUUUUUUAUAUAAAGCUAUGAGCGAAAAUUUCCGUGUACGAAAUCACCUGAGGCCAACUUCCUUCUCAUUCACAAUUCUCGAAGUCUCAAUGGAUUCCAGUCUCAAGUUUUCCAUGCUUUGAAGAAGUCGUGCGCUUGAGUCUGACUUCAGCAGUGAUUCAUGUUUCACAACUUCGACAUCUUGAAUCAGCUUGAGCAACCUCUGGGUCAGAGUGCAGCUUCCUUCCCUACUUCAGCUGCAGUGUUUUCUUGAAGAUGUACGUGCAUGCAUAAACCAGACGCAGACCGGAGAUGUAAACCGGGUUACUAAGACGGGAGUAGUAUACAAGAGCGAAUUAUCUGGACGGCCUGGUGUGUCUGAAGAGAUUUUUGAAAACGUGAGAGAAACAAUGAACCGAACCCAAGAAUAUUUUAUGCGGAGAUUAUCUCUUCCAACGGACGUUCCAGUCAGCACUUGCCACAAAAUUGUUAAAAGAAGGUUGAACUUGUAUCCUUACAAGAUUACCAAGGUGUAGGAGCUUCUUUCACCGGAAUAUGGGUAGUACACACAGUAGUACAAUCAUAAUACUUCAACGAUGAAGCUUGGUUCCACCUAUCUGGAUAUGUUAAUCUACAAGACUUUCGAAUAUAGAGUACUGAAAAUCUCCCUCAUUUCGUGGAAUUGUUUAAACAAAAAUGAAUCGCAUUCGACACCACAGUCCUUCUCAAUGAGUGUAACUAGUGCGAUGAGUUUAUUAAUGAUUUUCUAAUUUGAAGUGUGUAGAACUUUAACUAUUCGUCAUCACGUGUUAUUUUUGUUUUAUUGUUUGUAAAAUCACACUUUUUGAUUCUACUACAAUGUAGCUACAAUCAAGUAGAUCUGUAUUUAGAAUACGUAACAGGAAAUUCACUUAUUCAGGUCUAACGCCACAUUACCACACUAUGCGUGGCAUAAUUUAAUUUUGCUUGUUUCCUUUCUUGCAAUUAUAAUACUGCUAUUCUUAAAAUUCCACGGAGUGAUGGAAACACAUACUCAAUUGAAAGCUUUCCUCUUCUUGCCGUUUUCAGGUAAAUGUUUAUCUGCUAUACCGGAAUUUCAUCCCUAAUGAAUCCGGACGUUUAGUUGGCUGCGUCCUUUGCAAGAAUAGAAGGAAUGCCAGUGUUUAAAUAGACUUUCAUGAAGAGACGCCCUUCGCUCCGCUGUCGCUUCGCGUCCUCCCGCUGCGGAGUUUAUUUUCAUUCUAUUUUGUUUUUUGCUCGACUGUUCAUACUUAAAUAAUGGAAGAAUAAACAAUUUGCACCGUGGAAGCUUGGAUUCCAAAGUACUCGCGUAAUCCUCGCCUAAUAAGUAGUUUCAGCAACAAAUGCAGUAGUAGAAUGCAAAAAGAAUAAACCAUACAAGGAACAACUAUGAUUAUUUUCAUGGACCGUUUCACACGAUCGAAUGCAAUAAAAACAAUAAUGACAACACAUAAUUGUAAGUGUCCUUUGUUAACUCUCUUGCAGUCAACAAUCCCAGUUGUAUAGAAACUCAUUAACUGAUAGAAACUAAAUUCGUCAGAUGCUAUAAAAAAGUGAUGGUUAAGGACAUCAAGAGACUUUAUGAAAGAAAAGUUUAGUUUUUAGGUGAAUGUAGACAAAAGUGACAAAGGUGUUUUUUUUCUGUCUUAAGUAGAAAGGACUGUCUGGAGAGAGUCGGUCACCUUUUUUCUUAUAAUUCUUAUAAAAAAUCCAUCAGCAUAACACUCACAACUAGAUUUAAACUGAAUAUUUCCAAUUCAUUUAUCUUCAGUUUGUAUUACUAGCGAAGAAUGUAUUAUUCUGGUAAAUCGAUGAGCCAAGUUAUUUAGAGUUACGCUUUCCAAGCAGUUAAACAACGAAUCUAAUACUCAUCUGUCAAACAAUUAAGUGUUCCAAUCAAGUAUUCAAUGGUGUUGUUCCUAAACGUUGACAAACUUUAGUCUAACUUUAUGAAUUGCCGAUUCAAACGACGGGAACCAGCAAAUCAAAACAUAUAUUUAUCAAAUCAUUUUUCAGUUUUACGGGCAAUUUCUCCUAUGGCAUUAGCAACAAAGAAAGCCGAACACUUUCGAGGCACUUAACUGAGAUACGUGGAUUGACAUUUUUAUUAUUUUAACUUAGCGACGGUUCGAUCCACUAGGUUCGAUGAUAUCAAUGGGUAACUUUUAGUAAUAAUAAGUUCACCUCGCUCAUUCUUAAACAUAACAAUAAAUAACAGUUCCGUCUAUUCACUAACUGCAGAUAGCAAAUCCGAAUUUUCUGGUCAACAGACGUUUCACUUUCCCUUUACAUGAAUCAAAGCUAGGCAUAUAAGUUUAAAAUCCUUGAAGAUAUAGUCAGGCUCAACGAUUUCGCCGUAGGUAUUAGGGAUAAGAUAUCACCGAAGUAUUUGGAAAGUUUUCAGAGAACUUGAUAUGAACGUUGUUUAUACUUCAGGUCUUCUCAGCAACCCGACGCAUAAAUUAGGACUCAAUGAAAAGUCGCAGAUUUACGAUUUAAUUAUAAAAGUCUAAACAAAUAGGAGUACAUUUUAGGCAAGCGAAAAGUCUAAUCAUUUUAGAUUCGGAGUGUUUGAGAAAUCAAGAGAUGCACAAUCUUAGUUUUCAACUUUUUAUAUUAUAUUUAUAUUUUGAAAUAUUUCUACAUAGGAAUAGAGUGUUUAGUGCAGAAGGUGGUUUCAUUCCCCCACCCCUCCACCCACAAAACGCCUUUUCCUUUCAUUGUUGGACAGUACAAAUAGUGGCAACUGUAAAUUGU